rnacentral:rRNA from 1 species
GACGAACCGAGCGAACGUUGUUCGGAAUCACUGGGCUUAAAGGGCGCGUAGGCGGGCUGUCAAGUUUGGGGUGAAAUCCCGCGGCUCAACCGUGGAACUGCCUCAAAUACUGACGGUCUCGAGGGAGGUAGGGGCGAGCGGAACUGAUGGUGGAGCGGUGAAAUGCGUUGAUAUCAUCAGGAACUCCGGUGGCGAAGGCGGCUCGCUGGACCUUUUCUGACGCUGAGGCGCGAAAGCUAGGGGAGCAAACGGGG